GAGACUGUAACUCCACACUGACUGCUCCCCAGGCUUUCUGAGCCAGAGGUCCGGGGUUCAAAUCCCCGCGGGCCCGCCA
rnacentral:tRNA from 1 species